rnacentral:lncRNA from 1 species
CAGUAUUCCUGAUCCCAUGUACCCUACUCAAGCCUUGCUGUUCUCUAAAUAAGCAGUCUACCUACACUCUCAAUGAGCCUGGCAGGAUUUUAUGGUUGUUUUGAGUAGCAGAAUUUGGUGGAAGUGAUGCUGGGUGACAAAAAGUGAUUUGGGGCAGGAGUAGUGGUGCAUACCUGUAACCCUAGCAGCUUGGGAAGCCGAGGCAGGAGGAUCACAAGUUCAAAGCCAGCCUUAACAACUUUUCCAGGCCCUGUCUCAAAAAAAAAAAAAAAAAAAAGGGCUGGGGGCUGGGGAUGUGGCUCAGUGGUUAAGGGCUCCUGGGUUCAGUUCCUGGUUAAACACCCCCUCACAGCACAUGCACGCGUGGAAACACACACACACACACACACACAAUUAAGUGACUUGGCUUCUGCUUUCUCUUUGUACAUGUUACAGGGAAGCAUUGGCCUCAUGGAAAGGCCGGGUACAAGAGUUUGAGUGAAGGUCAACUGUUAACAACUACCACCAGACUUGUGAUAAAGCCUCUAGAAGGUUCCAGCUGCUGGUCUUUAAGUCUCUCACCUGAGCCCCCAAGCAUGGGGAGCAGAGAAACCAUUAUGCAUAUAAUAAGUGGUCAGUGAUAGUGUUAAGUUUUGGGUAGUUUCUUAUAUAGGUACAGUAACUGGGACAGGUGAACACCAUUACCCUAGUUUUACACAGGUAAUGUAAAUCACCAGACCCAAGAGUUAAUUACUAAGUGGUACAGCCCCAAGUUAGCCAGACAGAUUGGCUUCAGAGGC